rnacentral:rRNA from 1 species
AUUGAACGCUGGCGGCAGGCCUAACACAUGCAAGUCGAACGAGUGGCGGACGGGUGAGUAAUGUAUGGGAAACUGCCCGCUAGAGGGGGAUAACUACUGGAAACGGUAGCUAAUACCGCAUACUAUCGGAUGUGCCCAUAUGGGAUUAGCUUGUAGGUGAGGUAAUGGCUCACCUAGGCGACGAUCCCUAGCUGGUCUGAGAGGAUGAGCAGCCACAAUGGAACUGAGACACGGCCCAGACGCCUACGGGAGGCAGCAGUGGGGAAUAUUGCACAAUGGGCGCAAGCCUGAUGCAGCCAUGCCGCGUGUAUGAAGAAGGCCUUAGGGUUGUAAAGUACUUUCAGCGGGGAGGCGUUACCCGCAGAAGAAGCACCGGCUAACUCCGUGCCAGCAGCCGCGGUAAUAC